UCUUACACAAUGGGCGAAAGCCUGAUGGAGCAACGCCGCGUGGGUGAAGGAGGUGUUCGGAUCGUAAAACUCUGCUGUGAGGGAAGAACCAGUACAGUAGUAACUGGCUGUACCUUGGCGGUACCUUAUUAGAAAGCCAUCGCUAACUACGGGCCUGCAGCCGCGGUAAUACGGAGGUGGCAAGCGUUGUCCGGAAUUAUUGGGCGUAAAGCGCGCGCAGGCGGUCCUUUAAGGCUGAUGUGAAAGCCCACGGCUCAACCGUGGAGGGUCAUUGGAAACUGGGGGACUUGAGUGCAGAAGAGGAAAGUGGAAUUCCAAGUGUAGCGGUGAAAUGCGUAGAGAUUUGGAGGAACACCAGUGGCGAAGGCGACUUUCUGGUCUGUAACUGACGCUGAGGCGCGAAAGCGUGGGGAGCAAACAGG
rnacentral:rRNA from 1 species